rnacentral:rRNA from 1 species
GAUGAACGCUGGCGGCGUGCCUAAUACAUGCAAGUCGAGCGAACGGACGCUACGCUUGCUUCUCUGACGUUUGCGGCGGACGGGUGAGUAACACGUGGAUAAUCUACCUAUAAGACUGGGAUAACUUCGGGACACCGGCGCUAAUACCGGAUAAUAUUUUGAACCGCAUUGUUCAAUAGUGAAAGACGGUCUUGCUGUCACUUAUAGAUGCAUCCGCGCUGCAUUAGCUAGUUGGUAAGGUAACGGCCUACCAAGGCAACGAUGCAUAGCCGACCUGAGAGGGUGAUCGGCCACACUGGAACUGAGACACGGUCCAGACUCCUACGGGAGGCAGCAGUAGGGAAUCGGCCGCAAUGGGCGAAAGCCUGACGGAGCGACGCCGCGUGAGUGAUGAAGGUGUUCGGAUCGUGAUGCUCUGUUUCUAGGGGAGAACAGAUGUGUAAGUAACUGUGCACAGCUUGACGGUACCUAAUCAGAAAGCCACGGCUAACUACGUG